UACGGGAGGUGCAAGCGUUGUUCGGAAUGAUUGGGCGUAAAGCGCACGUAGGUGGGUUUGUAAGUCGGAUGUGAAAGCCCUAGGCUUAACCUAGGAAUUGCAUCUGAAACUGCAAGUCUUGAAUGCUUCAGAGGUUGGUAGAAUUCCUGGUGUAGGAGUGAAAUCCGUAGAUAUCAGGAGGAAUACCGGAGGCGAAGGCGGCCAACUGGGAGUGCAUUGACACUGAGGUGCGAAAGCGUGGGGAGCAAACAGG
rnacentral:rRNA from 1 species